GUUUGCGUCAGGACUGAUCUUGAUUUUCGUUNUGUUUUUGCNCGCCCGUUUUNUUUNUGACGGGCUCUUCUNCGGUGCNUGGAAUGUCUUGUGUGGCNAAGGAGGAGAGNCANUCCAUGUUCCGGUGGAANCUAGAUAUGGGAAACNACCCGAGGGGCGGAGCGGCUUAUCUGGCUNUGCAACAGACGUGUUGAGGUUCAAAGUGGGGGUUAGCCAAAACCGGAAUUAGAAUACCCCUGUGUAGUCCCACACCCGUUAANCGAUGGAACACUAGGUUGUUUAGGAAGUUUUUCCCGCCUUCUUUAANGCCCGAAGUAACGCAUUAAGUGUUCCGCCUGGGAGUACGACCGCAAAGGUUGAACUCAAAAGGAAUUGACGGGGACCCGCACAAAGCGGUGGAGCAUAGUGGUUUAAUUCGAAGCAACGCGAAGAACCUUACCAGGUCUUGACAUCCUUUGAAGCUUUUAGAGAUAGAAGUGUUCUCUUCGGAGACAAAGUGACAGGUGGUGCAUGGUCGUCGUCAGCUCGUGUCGUGAGAUGUUGGGUUAAGUCCCGCAACGAGCGCAACCCUUAUUGUUAGUUGCCAGCAUUCAGAUGGGCACUCUAGCGAGACUGCCGGUGACAAACCGGAGGAAGGCGGGGACGACGUCAGAUCAUCAUGCCCCUUAUGACCUGGGCUACACACGUGCUACAAUGGCGUAUACAACGAGUUGCCAGCCCGCGAGGGUGAGCUAAUCUCUUAAAGUACGUCUCAGUUCGGAUUGUAGUCUGCAACUCGACUACAUGAAGUCGGAAUCGCUAGUAAUCGCGGAUCAGCACGCCGCGGUGAAUACGUUCCCGGGUCUUGUACACACCGCCCGUCACACCAUGGGAGUUUGUAAUGCCCAAAGCCGGUGGCCUAACCUUUUAGGAAGGAGCCGUCUAAGGCAGGACAGAUGACUGGGGUGAAGUGUAACAUAUGUUAUCUGCA
rnacentral:rRNA from 1 species